AGGAGAGAGAAAUGGCAAUUGUAGUAAGAUGGAGACAGGUCAACUUACCAAUACCACACACACCCAACUGCCCUUCGCCAUCACGUGGCCCCUCCCUGCAGAUUCUUCCCUCUCCUUCUGCAGGACCCUCAGCAGAAGGGCUGCUACUCCUCACAGUAACUGGGACUCAGGCUGGUGCAGGGCAGAGUGAGUUCAGGCCUGGACUGAGCUUAUGAGAAGUUGGGCUGGGACUUGCCCCAUUGUGGUACGGGGUGUAAAGGCACUGUAGGAGCAACGCAGUGAGACAGGAAUGGUGACCUCUGAGAAACUGCCCAACCCCACCACACUCCUCAACAUUUCUACAGCAUGCUUGCCCUGAAGCAUUUCCUGUUCCAUCAGCCUGCACUAACUGCUGGAGCUGGCAGGAGGCCACCUGCCUAUACAAGUCAACAUCAGCCCUGGCGCCUAAGGGAAACUCAGGGUAAGGCUCACCCAGCUCCCCUCCCCCUGCCCCCACACAAAACCUAGAGCCCACAAUUCCAGACCUGAAAGGCCAUGAACCCCUUCUAAAUUCCCUACCUAGCCUGGUGGCUUUUGGAGACUCAGACACACAAAUACAGCAGCCCUCUGGUCUACAGACCCCGGAACAGACCUUGCAGCAAGUCUAGCAGCUCCAUGCAUGUGCAUGUGUGCAGAGAAAUCAUGCCAGUCCAGCAGACAGGAAGGCUGUAGUGGGGCGUGGGAGCCGCAUACUGGGAAGCUGCCAGGCAGGCAAGCAGGCAAACCCCUAGCUAAGCACACUCCUUCCCAUUGCCAAGAUGGCACCACCCAAUCCCAGAGGUCAGCCCUGCCCUCCCCACACAGGGAAAGGAGCUUCAGGCAAUGGGACAGGCUUGGCUGGGGUCCAAGCAGCCUUUCAGGCAACCAGAAGAGACACAGAGGACAAAGACAGAGGUGCCCACACAUGCUCCUGCUGUGGAACUGGCUACGAUUUAACCCCUGCAGAGGGCUGAGGGACAAGCAGGCCACCGAGGGCUGGAGAUCAAAGAUCCUGGUCCAAAGGGGAGAGAUGACCAUCCCAUGCAAGAGGAUGCACUCUAGCUUCAUACAUAGGGUGCUGACAGUUGUGUUACUGAUACCAGCCAGCCAGCUGCACUGACCUGGCAUGGGGGGGACCAUGACAGCACUGCACCUUCUGAGAAGCCUCUUUCCUAGGCUCACAACAGCUCAGCAUUGAACUUCUCGGGACCCCCUGAUGUCCAUGCACUUGUUUGGAAACACAGCACAGUAGAUUUGGCCAGUACUUCUGGACUCUCAACUUUGAUCACCUCCUAUAAAAGGGAAAUGUGCU